rnacentral:tRNA from 1 species
GGAGAGGUGGCAGAGCGGUUGAAUGCGCUUGACUCGAAAUCAAGUAUAGGGGAAACCCUAUCGGGGGUUCGAAUCCCCCCCUCUCCGCCA